GUACGCAGGUACGCGCGCGUUCUGACUCCAAAGCGCGUUCACGUCAUCGCGCCUGUGCUGAGGAGAGUCUGUCAGUCGAUAAAGAUGAUUUGAUGUGGCAGAAAAAUCCUUCCACACAGAGGAGUCUUUCAAGUAAUAAAAACCAGGUAUUGAUGAAACAUUCACCUCACAUCUUCAAAUAGAAAAGAGCUGAAAUAAAGAACUGACAGCUCAGAUGGUGCCAGAAGAUUUUUCCUUGAAUAGAAAAUCACCCAGAAUCAAAUUGUGAAAGUUCAUGAGAAUUUGCUGUGACACAUGAUCAUAAACACUUCAUGGAGAAAACACUUUUAUAACUCCGUUCAGAGAGCGGACUGUUUUAACAAAUCACUGUUUACAGAUAAACACGCACAGACUUAUAUUUAUACACUGAUUUUUAGCUGAAAGUGGAAGUUGUUUGGAUGGUCAACAGUCUGUAGGAGUGAAGGUACAGUUCCUCGUGUCCAGACUAGAAACUCUUGGGUGUCACACAGAUGCCCAGCUCAGCAAAACCCCAUGUUUUGGCAGGGGAGAGCAUGAUGGACACACCCAAAAUAAAAAGAUUCAUGCUUGCGAGACUGCGCACAUAACCCAGAUAUCUUUAGAAAGCAAACGCUGUGACUGUACGAUUAUAUUUCAGUAAUUCAACCACACAUUUGCAUGUUCACGGUUUUCUGAUGUCAGUUCACGUACUAACAAAUGAUAACAAAUACAGCUUUUUAUUUUUAAAGCGUAUUAGUAAAUGUUGAAAUAAUCAUUAACAAAGAUGUAGAAGUAUUUCUCAUUGUUAGUUCAUGUUAACUAAUACUAAUGUUAACAAAUGAAACCUUAUUGUAAAGUUUUACCAAUUAAUUAUUGUUUUUUCAUCAACUUUUGAACCCCAGUUUGGGAAACCUGAUCUAGUGGAAAACUAGACGCCAAUAUCUGGAUUACCUGAAUGUAAAGUACAAGUAUAAGUUAGAUAUGAGUCACAGUGAUUAUACAAAGCGCUUGUCAUGGCUUAUUUAUUGAUUUUAUUAUUUCAAAGAAUGGCCUGCAUAUGUGGUAUUUUUGGAAAAACAGAAACAUUUCCAAGUUUCUUGUACAGUAAUCUUGGAAGAAUGCUGCAUUAUCACUUUGGGUAUUUAUUUAGCUCAUGUUGUUAUUAUAAAAACACACACAUCAGCUGUUUUCCAGGGAUGCAAACUCAUGAGAAGUGAAAAAGAAAUCAAUGACUGCUGUUUCAAGGGUAUGUUUCCCAUAUCUCUCUUUUUUGUAAGUGGGGCAACUGGAAUUGAGAUGAACAGGAUUGUUACCAAAUAUUUCUCCUUUUUUCAUGCAAAAGUAUUGGUUCAAAACAGACGAUUUUAUUUAAAGGAGCCAGGACUGUUUAAAGCUGUCCAAACUUGUGUUAGUAAUGCAACUUAGUCAACCUCAACUCUACUGACCCCCAUUGACCAGAACUAAUAAAAUACACUGCGAGGUAAUGGACAAUGAGUUAAAGUCGGUGAAAUGUUAGAAGAGAGAAAUUACUUUGAUGUGAAGCAGAUUUUGGAAGAUUGAAGGACAGCAGCAGGACACAAGUGCACAAAUGGUGUUUGGAUUUCCUGCAGUUAUUUGUGUGUACACAAGAUGGCGCUUCCCAAACACUGCUGAUCAAAACAAGUCUCUGUUUCCCAAAGUGUCUUAUAGGAGAAACUCAAACAAUUGUAUAGAUCAAUAACUGCAUAGAAGUGCUAAACACCUACCAAAUGUCAAAUACAUAAAUGCUCCAUAUGAUGCAUCGAACUGAAAUGCAGAAGUACUAACUGAUGUAAAGUCUGUUGUUCAUCUACCGCAUAACCCAAUGGCCUUAGUGUUGUUAGGAAGAUGAACAACAGACGGGAACAGCGAAUGGAAAAUACUGAGGGAAGGUUUUAAAGUACUCUGUAAAAAUUGAUUAGCUGCUUUUAUUUAAAGGCUGGUGGAAAAUAAGCGUUAGUUUCUUUCAUGUUCCCUUGAGUUUUCUCCACUUGACACCGAAGACACAAAAAUUAAGUCAGACAACUGGAACGAGUCAGAGAAAACCGAUCCAAUCUGGUUCCUCGAUGAGAAACACUCAUUUGCCUCAGAGAGACGGGCCAAUGACCGGCGUAUUAAUCAGAGGGGAAAGUUGUGAAAGAAAAGUGGGAACAGAAGGAUGAUGAGUAAAACUGUGUGGCGCUCCAGGUCCAAACCGCAGAUCGAAAUUGCAGUCGAUUGACCAGUGACGACUUCCCUCCUGGAAUUAUUUGGUUCAACACCCCCAAAAGUGCUUCUGGGAAUACAGAUUUCUUUUUUGUGUAGGGUUUGUGAUAGAGGGAUGAUGUAAUUUUGUAGGCAAAAACCCAGAAACGAGUUGCAAUUUUGCUGUCCCUCUUCUAUUGUCCUGAAGUCAAUGUUUUGGGGUUUUUUUUAAUGGGUUUUUGAUUAAGAUCUAAAGAUAUUUUCACUUCUACUACAGAAAAUCCAUUAGUAUAACCCCCUUGUGAUUACUUUAAAAGAUUUUACUUGUCUUGAAAAAGGCAGUUGCUUUUAUAUUUUAUAUUAAUCGUCAUCAUGUCAAACAGGUAAACUCAUCUUCUCACUAGUUGCUUUCACGGAUUGUUUUCAACACUCUUAUUGCAUUUGGGUCAGUUUUGCAUGGAAGCUUGUUUCCGCCAUGAAAUAAAAAAAUAAAAAAGGUAAUUGUGACUUUAUCUCACAAUUC